rnacentral:rRNA from 1 species
ACGAACGCUGGCGGCACGCUUAACACAUGCAAGUCGAACGAGAGAAGAGAAGCUUGCUUUUCUGAUCUAGUGGCGGACGGGUGAGUAACACGUGAGCAAUCUGCCUUUCAGAGGGGGAUACCGAUUGGAAACGAUCGUUAAUACCGCAUAACAUAAUUGAACCGCAUGAUUUGAUUAUCAAAGAUUUAUCGCUGAAAGAUGAGCUCGCGUCUGAUUAGCUAGUUGGUAAGGUAACGGCUUACCAAGGCGACGAUCAGUAGCCGGACUGAGAGGUUGAUCGGCCACAUUGGGACUGAGACACGGCCCAGACUCCUACGGGAGGCAGCAGUGGGGAAUAUUGCACAAUGGAGGAAACUCUGAUGCAGCGAUGCCGCGUGAGGGAAGAAGGUUUUAGGAUUGUAAACCUCUGUCUUCAGGGACGAAAAAAGACGGUACCUGAGGAGGAAGCUCCGGCUAACUACGUGCCAGCAGCCGCGGUAAUACGUAGGGAGCGAGCGUUGUCCGGAAUUACUGGGUGUAAAGGGAGCGUAGGCGGGAUCGCAAGUCAGAUGUGAAAACUAUGGGCUUAACCCAUAAACUGCAUUUGAAACUGUGGUUCUUGAGUGAAGUAGAGGUAAGCGGAAUUCCUAGUGUAGCGGUGAAAUGCGUAGAUAUUAGGAGGAACAUCAGUGGCGAAGGCGGCUUACUGGGCUUUAACUGACGCUGAGGCUCGAAAGCGUGGGGAGCAAACAGGAUUAGAGACCCUGGUAGUCCACGCCGUAAACGAUGAUUACUAGGUGUGGGGGGACUGACCCCUUCCGUGCCGCAGCAAACGCAAUAAGUAAUCCACCUGGGGAGUACGACCGCAAGGUUGAAACUCAAAGGAAUUGACGGGGGCCCGCACAAGCAGUGGAGUAUGUGGAUUAAUUCGAAGCAACGCGAAGAACCUUACCAGGUCUUGACAUCGUAUGCAUAGCUCAGAGAUGAGUGAAAUCUCUUCGGAGACAUAUAGACAGGUGGUGCAUGGUUGUCGUCAGCUCGUGUCGUGAGAUGUUGGGUUAAGUCCCGCAACGAGCGCAACCCUUAUUGCCAGUUACUACGAAAGAGGACUCUGGCGAGACUGCCGUUGACAAAACGGAGGAAGGUGGGGAUGACGUCAAAUCAUCAUGCCCCUUAUGACCUGGGCCUCACACGUACUACAAUGGCUGUCAACAGAGGGAAGCAAAGCCGCGAGGUGGAGCAAACCCCUAAAAGCAGUCUUAGUUCGGAUUGUAGGCUGCAACCCGCCUACAUGAAGUCGGAAUUGCUAGUAAUCGCAGAUCAGCAUGCUGCGGUGAAUACGUUCCCGGGCCUUGUACACACCGCCCGUCACGCCAUGGGAGUCGGUAACACCCGAAGCCUGUAGUCUAACCGCAAGGAGGACGCAGUCGAAGGUGGGAUUGAUGACUGGGGUG